GACGAACGCUGGCGGCGUGCUUAACACAUGCAAGUCGAACGGAAAGGCCCUGCUUUUGUGGGGUGCUCGAGUGGCGAACGGGUGAGUAACACGUGAGUAACCUGCCCUUGACUUUGGGAUAACUUCAGGAAACUGGGGCUAAUACCGGAUAGGAGCUCCUUCUGCAUGGUGGGGGUUGGAAAGUUUCGGCGGUUGGGGAUGGACUCGCGGCUUAUCAGCUUGUUGGUGGGGUAGUGGCUUACCAAGGCUUUGACGGGUAGCCGGCCUGAGAGGGUGACCGGCACCAUUGGGACUGAGAUACGGGCCAGACCCCUACGGGAGGCAGCAGUGGGGAAUAUUGCACAAUGGGCGGAAGUCUGAUGCAGCAACGCCGCGUGCGGGAUGACGGCCUUCGGGUUGUAAACCGCUUUCGCCUGUGACGAAGCGUGAGUGACGGUAAUGGGUAAAGAAGCACCGGCUAACUACGUG
rnacentral:rRNA from 1 species